rnacentral:rRNA from 1 species
AGCAGCCGCGGUAAUUCCAGCUCCAAUAGCGUAUAUUAAAGUUGUUGCAGUUAAAAAGCUCGUAGUUGAAUUUCGGGAUCAAUGUUUCGGUCAUGCCCUUGGUAUGUACUGAUAUUAUUGGUUUCCCACCUUCUAAAGAACCGUAAUGCCAUUAAUUUGGUGUCACGGGGAAUUAGGACUGUUACCUUGAAAAAUUAGAGUGUUUAAAGCAGGCUCACGCUUGAAUACAUUAGCAUGGAAUAAUGAAAUAGGACAUCCGAUUCUAUUUUGUUGGUUUCUAGGAUCGAUGUAAUGAUUAAUAGGGAUAGUUGGGGGCAUUAGUAUUCAAUUGUCAGAGGUGAAAUUCUUGGAUUUAUUGAAGACUAACUACUGCGAAAGCAUUUGCCAGGGAUGUUUUCAUUAAUCAAGAACGAAAGUUAGGGGAUCGAAGACGAUCAGAUACCGUCGUAGUCUUAACCAUAAACUAUGCCGACUAGGGAUCGGAUGAUGUUAAUUUUUUAAUGACUCA